GUUGACCUCGGAUCAGGUAGGACUACCCGCUGAACUUAAGCAUAUCAAUAAGCGGAGGAAAAGAAACCAACAGGGAUUGCCCCAGUAACGGCGAGUGAAGCGGCAACAGCUCAAAUUUGAAAUCUGGCCCCAGGCCCGAGUUGUAAUUUGCAGAGGAUGCUUUUGGCGCGGUGCCUUCCGAGUUCCCUGGAACGGGACGCCAUAGAGGGUGAGAGCCCCGUACGGUUGGACACCAAGCCUUUGUAAAGCUCCUUCGACGAGUCGAGUAGUUUGGGAAUGCUGCUCUAAAUGGGAGGUACAUUUCUUCUAAAGCUAAAUAUUGGCCAGAGACCGAUAGCGCACAAGUAGAGUGAUCGAAAGAUGAAAAGCACUUUGAAAAGAGGGUUAAACAGCACGUGAAAUUGUUAAAAGGGAAGCGCUUGUGACCAGACUUGCGUCCGGUGAAUCACCCAGCUCUCGCGGCUGGGGCACUUCGCCGGCACAGGCCAGCAUCAGCUUGCCGUCGGGGACAAAAGCUUCAGGAACGUGGCUCCUCUCGGGGAGUGUUAUAGCCUGUUGCACAAUACCCUUCGGCGGGCUGAGGUACGCGCUCCGCAAGGAUGCUGGCGUAAUGGUCAUCAGCGAC
rnacentral:rRNA from 1 species